CCUACGGGAGGCAGCAGUGGGGAAUUUUGGACAAUGGGCGAAAGCCUGAUCCAGCAAUGCCGCGUGAGUGAAGAAGGCCUUCGGGUUGUAAAGCUCUUUUGUCAGGGAAGAAACGGUGAGGGCUAAUAUCCCUUGCUAAUGACGGUACCUGAAGAAUAAGCACCGGCUAACUACGUGCCAGCAGCCGCGGUAAUACGUAGGGUGCAAGCGUUAAUCGGAAUUACUGGGCGUAAAGCGUGCGCAGGCGGUUUUGUAAGUCUGUCGUGAAAUCCCCGGGCUCAACCUGGGAAUUGCGAUGGAGACUGCAAGGCUAGAAUCUGGCAGAGGGGGGUAGAAUUCCACGUGUAGCAGUGAAAUGCGUAGAGAUGUGGAGGAACACCGAUGGCGAAGGCAGCCCCCUGGGUCAAGAUUGACGCUCAUGCACGAAAGCGUGGGGAGCAAACAGGAUUAGAUACCCUGGUAGUCCACGCCCUAAACGAUGUCUACUAGUUGUCGGGUUUUAAUUAACUUGGUAACGCAGCUAACGCGUGAAGUUAGACCGCCUGGGGAGUACGGUCGCAAGAUUAAAACCUCAAAUGAAAUUGACGG
rnacentral:rRNA from 1 species